CCCAUUGAUUGACGGUGCUUGCAUCUGAUUGAUUUUGGUUGCCAACGAGUGGCGGACGGGUGAGUAACACGUAGGUAACCUGCCCAGAAGUGGGGGACAACAUUUGGAAACAGAUGCUAAUACCGCAUAACAGCGUUGUUCGCAUGAACAACGCUUAAAAGAUGGCUUCUCGCUAUCACUUCUGGAUGGACCUGCGGUGCAUUAGCUUGUUGGUGGGGUAACGGCCUACCAAGGCGAUGAUGCAUAGCCGAGUUGAGAGACUGAUCGGCCACAAUGGGACUGAGACACGGCCCAUACUCCUACGGGAGGCAGCAGUAGGGAAUCUUCCACAAUGGGCGCAAGCCUGAUGGAGCAACACCGCGUGAGUGAAGAAGGGUUUCGGCUCGUAAAGCUCUGUUGUUAAAGAAGAACACGUAUGAGAGUAACUGUUCAUACGUUGACGGUAUUUAACCAGAAAGUCACGGCUAACUACGUGCCAGCAGCCGCGGUAAUACGUAGGUGGCAAGCGUUAUCCGGAUUUAUUGGGCGUAAAGAGAGUGCAGGCGGUUUUCUAAGUCUGAUGUGAAAGCCUUCGGCUUAACCGGAGAAGUGCAUCGGAAACUGGAUAACUUGAGUGCAGAAGAGGGUAGUGGAACUCCAUGUGUAGCGGUGGAAUGCGUAGAUAUAUGGAAGAACACCAGUGGCGAAGGCGGCUACCUGGUCUGCAACUGACGCUGAGACUCGAAAGCAUGGGUAGCGAACAGGAUUAGAUACCCUGGUAGUCCAUGCCGUAAACGAUGAGUGCUAGGUGUUGGAGGGUUUCCGCCCUUCAGUGCCGGAGCUAACGCAUUAAGCACUCCGCCUGGGGAGUACGACCGCAAGGUUGAAACUCAAAGGAA
rnacentral:rRNA from 1 species